rnacentral:rRNA from 1 species
UUCUAAUAAUAAAUAUUUAUUAGUAAAAUCUGCUCAAUGAUCAUUUUAAUAGCCGCAGACUCAUCUGUGCUAAGGUAGCAUAAUCACUUGCCUACUAAUUACAGGAUAGAAUGAAAGAUUUAACAUGUAAAAUUCUAUACUAAUAAUACUUCUUUAAAUUUAUCCAUUAGUAAAAAAGCUAAUAUUUUAAAGAGGGACGACAAGACCCUAUUGAACUUAACUUUCAGUUAACUGGGGCGGUAAAAAACUACAUCUUUUAUUGCAACAAUUUUUAUAAUCUUCAUUAAUAUUUAACAAGUUACCAUAGGGAUAACAGCAUAAUUCUUUUCCAAAGACCUUAUAAAAAAAAGAGAUUGUGACCUCGAUGUUGAAUAUCAACCUAUUUAAGAGUAAAAACUAAAAAAGGAAGUCUGUUCGACUUUUAAAUAUAUACA